rnacentral:rRNA from 1 species
CCUACGGGAGGCAGCAGUGGGGAAUAUUGCACAAUGGGGGGAACCCUGAUGCAGCGAUGCCGCGUGAGUGAAGAAGUCUUUUGGUAUGUAAAGCUCUAUCAGCAGGGAAGAAAAUUACGGUACCUGACUAAGACGCCCCGGCUAACUACGUGCCAGCCGCCGCGGUAAUACGUAGGGGGCAAGCGUUAUCCGGAUUUACUGGGUGUAAGGGGAGCGCAGACGGCUGUGCAAGUCUGGAGUGAAAGGCGGGGGCCCAACCCCCGGACUGCUAUGGAGACUGUAAAGCUGGAGUGCAGGAGAGGUAAGCGGAAUUCGUGGUGUAGCGGUGAAAUGCGUAGAUAUUAGGAAGAACACCAGUGGCGAAGGCAGCUUACUGAACUGCAACUGACGUUGAGGCUCGAAAGCGUGGGGAGCAAACAGGAUUAGAUACCCCUGUAGUC